rnacentral:sRNA from 1 species
GGGCCUCUGGGUGCCAGUCCCGUCCGGAAGAGCAGCCAACCAGCAUCUUGCCUUCCGGACACAGCGCCCUGGCUGAGCUCUGCCUGCCUGGAGGCUCCCACAGGAUGGCCCUGGGGACCUCUGCAGCACUCGGGUCAAAUGUCAUCAGGAAUGAGCAGCUGCCCCUGCAGUACUUGGCCGACGUGGACACCUCUGAUGAGGAAAGCAUCCGGGCUCACAUGAUGGCCUCCCAUCAUUCCAAGCGGAGAGGCCGGGCGUCCUCUGAGAGUCAGGUAACGGUGGCUGGACAGACUUCUGUCUUGUCAUUUCUUCACGUGGAGUCUUUUUUGCCUCCACACCAAGUCACUUUAGAGAAAUUACAGCUUUUAAUACUUUCAAACUAUGAAAUUGCACAAGCCUACUUAAUGGAGAUACAUCAUCACAAUAUUUUUUGUGGAAGU